AUGCAAAGCAAGCAUGUAAAAGUGAAUUACCUAUUACUUACCCGAAUUCGGAGCUCUCCAGGAGCGUUCGCAGAUCUGCCCCGUAGCGUGUCCAAUGCUGCCACUUUCUACAGAGCCGAGGAGGGGAGCUCGACGGAGAAGGUGUUCUGGUCUCAAUAUGCCGAGGCUGGACAUCCGGUGCCCCUUAGCGACCAGCUGAAGCAGCUGGUCGAGCUCCACAAGGUGGCCGAACAGGCCAUGAAGGGCCUCGUAGUUCGGCUGUGGCCCAAGGAGGCCAUGCCUGGGAGCUACUUCGGCCUUGUGCGGCGGCUGGUGGAUGCUUGUCCAUGGGUUGAAGUCAUCAAGCACUCCGCCUGCAUUGAAGGUGCCCGUCGGGCCCUUGCCCAUGCUAAAGUGCACUGGGGCAGGAUGGACGCUGAGAAGCUUGUGACGGACGCGCCACCGCUGGGCAAGGAGUAUCACACGCCCGAGAUGUAUUAUAAGGGUCUCCUGAAGGGUGCCCGCAUUAUUGCGGGUGAGUGCUCCAAAGAUGUAAUAUUUGAGUAG
rnacentral:rRNA from 1 species